GCGGCGUGCCUUUACGUGCAAGUCGAGCGAACAGAUGAGAAGCUUGCUUCUCUGAUGUUAGCGGCGGACGGGUGAGUAACACGUGGGUAACCUACCUAUAAGACUGGGAUAACUCCGGGAAACCGGGGCUAAUACCGGAUAAUAUUUUGAACCGCAUGGUUCAAUAGUGAAAGACGGUUUCGGCUGUCACUUAUAGAUGGACCCGCGCCGUAUUAGCUAGUUGGUAAGGUAAUGGCUUACCAAGGCGACGAUACGUAGCCGACCUGAGAGGGUGAUCGGCCACACUGGAACUGAGACACGGUCCAGACUCCUACGGGAGGCAGCAGUAGGGAAUCUUCCGCAAUGGGCGAAAGCCUGACGGAGCAACGCCGCGUGAGUGAUGAAGGUCUUCGGAUCGUAAAACUCUGUUGUUAGGGAAGAACAAAUUUGUUAGUAACUGAACAAGUCUUGACGGUACCUAACCAGAAAGCCACGGCUAACUACGUGCCAGCAGCCGCGGUAAUACGUAGGUGGCAAGCGUUAUCCGGAAUUAUUGGGCGUAAAGCGCGCGUAGCGGUUUCUUAAGUCUGAUGUGAAAGCCCACGGCUCAACCGUGGAGGGUCAUUGGCAAACUGGGAAACUUGACUGCAGAGGAGGAUAGUUGAAUUUCCAUGUGUACCGAUGAAAUGCCCAAAAAUCUGGAAGGACCACAAUGGCCAAGGCGGCUCUCUGGAUCUAGUAAAUGACCCAGACGUGUUAGCCCCGGGAUUUAAACAGUUAAAUUCCCUUGGAAUCACCACGCGCACCUUGCCUUGUAGUGUCACAGAGUUUCGCCCCUUAGUGCUGCAGCUAACGCAUUAAGCACUCCGCCUGGGGAGUACGACCGCAAGGUUGAAACUCAAAGGAAUUGACGGGGACCCGCACAAGCGGUGGAGCAUGUGGUUUAAUUCGAAGCAACGCGAAGAACCUUACCAAAUCUUGACAUCCUUUGACCGCUCUAGAGAUAGAGUCUUCCCCUUCGGGGGACAAAGUGACAGGUGGUGCAUGGUUGUCGUCAGCUCGUGUCGUGAGAUGUUGGGUUAAGUCCCGCAACGAGCGCAACCCUUAAGCUUAGUUGCCAUCAUUAAGUUGGGCACUCUAGGUUGACUGCCGGUGACAAACCGGAGGAAGGUGGGGAUGACGUCAAAUCAUCAUGCCCCUUAUGAUUUGGGCUACACACGUGCUACAAUGGAUAAUACAAAGGGCAGCGAAUCCGCGAGGCCAAGCAAAUCCCAUAAAAUUAUUCUCAGUUCGGAUUGUAGUCUGCAACUCGACUACAUGAAGCUGGAAUCGCUAGUAAUCGUAGAUCAGCAUGCUACGGUGAAUACGUUCCCGGGUCUUGUACACACCGCCCGUCACACCACGAGAGUUUGUAACACCCGAAGCCGGUGGAGUAACCUUUUAGGAGCUAGCCGUCGAAGGUGGGACAAAUGAUUGGGGGAAGUCUAACAAGGUACCCG
rnacentral:rRNA from 1 species